GGGCUGGCAGACAGGGAUCUGCUCUUGCUGAAGCCUGUUGGACACGACCAUCAGGGCCAGUUAAUGCCCAGGGAGCUCAAGGCAGGAGUGCUACAGGGACAGCAAGAGUGGCUCUGGACUGCAGUGGUGUGACAAGUGCCCUUAAUCUCUCCCGUCAGAGUCUCGAAGGUGGGGAUGAGCUCCAAAGAUAACCACAUACAUGACAGUCUGUCUGGAAGCACAAGCUGCUCCAGUCCAGCCCAUGACAGAGUACAAGUGAGAGGGCCAAUAAAUAAUUGACCAUGGUGGUGAUUAA